rnacentral:rRNA from 1 species
GAUGAACGCUGGCGGCGUGCCUAAUACAUGCAAGUCGAGCGAACAGACGAGGAGCUUGCUCGUCUGAGGUUAGCGGCGGACGGGUGAGUAACACGUGGAUAACCUACCUAUAAGACUGGGAUAACUUCGGGAAACCGGAGCUAAUACCGGAUAAUAUAUUGAACCGCAUGGUUCAAGAGUGAAAGACGGUCUUGCUGUCACUUAUAGAUGGAUCCGCGCCGCAUUAGCUAGUUGGUAAGGUAACGGCUUACCAAGGCAACGAUGCGUAGCCGACCUGAGAGGGUGAUCGGCCAGACUGGAACUGAGACACGGCCCAGACUCCUACGGGAGGCAGCAGUAGGGAAUCUUCCGCAAGGGGCGAAAGCCUGACGGAGCAACGCCGCGUGAGUGAUGAAGGUCCCCGGAUCGUAAAACUCUGUUAUUAGGGAAGAACAAAUGUGUAAGUAACUGUGCACAUCUUGACGGUACCUAAUCAGAAAGCCACGGCUAACUACGUG